AGUGAACGCUGGCGGUAGGCCUAACACAUGCAAGUCGAACGGCAGCACAGUAAGAGCUUGCUCUUACGGGUGGCGAGUGGCGGACGGGUGAGGAAUACAUCGUAAUCUACUUUUUCGUGGGGGAUAACGUAGGGAAACUUACGCUAAUACCGCAUACGACCUACGGGUGAAAGCAGGGGAUCUUCGGACCUUGCGCGAUUGAAUGAGCCGAUGUCGGAUUAGCUAGUUGGGGGGGUAAAGGCCCACCAAGGCGACGAUCCGUAGCUGGUCUGAGAGGAUGAUCAGCCACACUGGAACUGAGACACGGUCCAGACUCCUACGGGAGGCAGCAGUGGGGAAUAUUGGACAAUGGGCGCAAGCCUGAUCCAGCCAUACCGCGUGGGUGAAGAAGGCCUUCGGGUUGUAAAGCCCUUUUGUUGGGAAAGAAAAGCAGCAGGUUAAUACCCCGCUGUUCUGACGGUACCCAAAGAAUAAGCACCGGCUAACUUCGUG
rnacentral:rRNA from 1 species